GAUGCCAUAAAGAAUGUCAUAGAUCAGGUGGCUUAAAAAUACAAAGUUAUUUGUGUCAUAGAUCUAGAGUUUAAAAUCAAGGUACCAGUCAAUGUGUCUUUUGGUGUGUUUUUUUUUUUUGCCAGCAUACAGAAGACAUUCUUUUGCUGUGUCCUCACAUGGUGAAGAUGUUGAACACGCUUUCUGGUAUCUUUUCUUACAGGAACACUAAACUCAUUUUGAGGUUCCUAUCCUUAUAGCUUCAUGUAAGAUUUCAAUAUAUGCUUUUAUGGGGAUACAAACAUAUGAUCCAUAACAGAAAUCUUUCUGUGCUAGCUCCUUACGGUUUUCUAUUAUAUAGAACCAUCUGUUGCUGAUAUUUGAAUUAUUUCCAAGUACCAUUCUCCUACCUACUAUAUGAAUGUUGAUUGUGGGAAGCCGCCUAUGAUGGCGCCCAUUUCCUGCUUCCGGGUUCUUCCCGGCCUGAACAAGCCCGCCAAAUUGUCAUAUCUGCCCAGUUACCCGUGACGCUAGCCUAUCAGAUUGUUAGGCGCGCUUCUCUGUGAUUGGAUACUGCUUCCCCUUAUAAGAGGUUGUUCCUGCCCCCAACGGCGGAAGAGGAAUCAACGUUGAGGGUGGCGGACCUUGUUAGGUCCGGUUCGCUGUACGUAAUAAAGUUUGAGAGCUGAUCCUGCUCGAGUUUGGCCUCCUGUCUUCCGCGGCUCCGGUCAUCUGGUGGCCCCCGUACGGGGAAUAAAAGACUCAGCGACGUGCCUCUUCGGCCGGGAGGUGCGAUUGCUGUCGCCUGCGGUACGACGGAGGACCUGGCCCAAUAACAACGGAAGGCCGCGAGCACCUCUUCUCUUCACCCUGAUCAGCUACGUGAGAUACAGCGGUUCCCGGGACAGGAACCAGGUCGCGAACCGCUGUGGGUCCCGGAAAGAUUGAUGCGAGCAGUAAACUCCCCACCAGUUCCUGAUAAA